UAAUUUUCUAGAUAUGCAUUCAAGCCUUACCUGGGAGAACUGCUUGAUGUGUGCCUCAAAGAACCUUUCAAGGGCAGCAGAGGCACGAGCCAGAGGUUGUGUGCAUUUUUCACCAGGAUUUAACCUGGACAAGCUGAACAAGUCUCUAAAGAACAGCAGCCUGCCUGCUACUCCUCAAAACUAAGAUUUCCCUGCCUGGUACUGACUCAAGCUGACUCUUUCGGUACUGACUCAAGCUGGCCUGUG